AAAUAGAACUUUGCAGAGAGAGUUAACAGGGCGUGAAACCGUUAAUUGGCAAACGAAUCGGAGCCACGAAGUCGUUUCGUUGUUAAGUUGGGCCAGGUUCAGUUGGUUAGAGAUAACCGGCGUAUUCCUAGGCUCGGCCACAUUGUAAACGUACACUGCAACCAGUUAGACAAUUGGUCAUGGGCCAAGCUUUAUUAGUGGGGUUAGUUUCAGCUUGGCGCGCUUCGGUGCGUUUGAGUUGUUGGGCUCCAUUGGGUGAACUAUGACCAAAUACUGACUGGCAAAAUUAAAAUCGCAUUCGCGUUUUAUAGAAAGCGGCAGUUGAGACUAGUAGCUACAUGCUUGACCAUGGGGUCUAAGCUCAGCAGUUUUGAAUUUGGACUUUCUCGCUACCAAUGGGGCAACUCUUGGUGCUUGUUUAGCUUCCAUCUAAUCGGCUGUUGACUUGGCUCUGUGUAGUUUGAGUAUGCUACGAUUGGUUGCUAGUUUUAGAUUGUUCGCAAUCAUUGGCAGUGAGUAGGUCGGCUUUCCGAACGACCCGUCUUGAAACACGGACCAAGGAGUCUAAUUAGGCAUCAAGUCGAUCGGUCUUGAAUAGGCCAGUAAGGCGUAGAGACAAUCAUGUGAUUUGUGGGCAACAACAGCCCGCCAACGCAACAUGUGCCUGCUCGUAUGGCAAUUGUAGCAAUAAUUGCUGGGCGGAGUAAAGAGAUGCCUGAUUGGUACCCGAAAGAUGGUGAUGCUUGGGCAAAUUGAAGCCAGAGGAAACUCUGGUGGAGGAUUGUAGCGAUUCUGACGUGCAAAUCGAUCGUCAGACCUGAGUAUAGGGGCGAAAGACUAAUCGAACCAUC
rnacentral:rRNA from 1 species